UGCUUUGCUCUUUCUAGCCUAGUAGAACCACACUGAUCCAUCUCGAACUCAGUUCUGUGAAAUUCUAGAGCACUGACGAUACUCUGCACGGGAGUGCAUUGGGGAAAAUAAGUCAAGAGUAAAGCU
rnacentral:rRNA from 1 species